GAGGAGACCAAGAGGAAAGGAAAAGUAACCAAAAAUUAAAGACACUGUGAGUUGAGAUAUUGAAUUUUUAUAUGUAACUCUUACUUCCUCAGAUGACUGACCCAGAAGGGAUGAUCAGUGGAUAGAGGACAUAAUAACUAUGAUACAGAUACAUGCUCUGACUCCAAACCUUGCCCAAGGUCACCUUCUUUCACUCAAUUCAUUGAAUCUAUUUAUUGAAUCCCUACUAUGGGCUUCAAUAGUAGGCAGUAGAGCUACACCUGUGAAGACAGUUUCUGCUUUUCUGGAGGUAAUAUGCUAUUAGGUUGGAAGAUAGAUAUGUGUGUGCAACAGAGACACACUGGGGGGGGUGGUGACAGACCAUAUAAUUUUGGAUGGUGAGUGGCAGGAGGAAAAUAAACCAGUGAUGCAUCUGGAGGAGUGACUAUGGGCUGCUUUAGGUUAAGUGACCGCUGAGCUGAGCCCUGAGCUACAAGGAGCACUCCCUACCUUCAUUAAGAUCUAGAAGAGUGUUAAAGACUGUUAACAGCUGGUACCAAGACUCUAAAGAGAGUAUCAAUCUCCAUGACCUCAAGGGACAGAAAAACCAGAGAAUCAUAAUUGAGGGUGAUACAGGAUGAGACCAGAUAUGUGUGGCCAGAUAAUGUAAUGUAGGCCUUUAUAUGUAAGGACUUGGAUUUUAUUCUAAAUAUGGGAAGCCAGGGAUGAUUUAUAAGCAGAUUUAUUUAAAAAGCUCUAGCCGCUCUACAGGAAUGAAUUGUAGGUGGCAAGAGUGGAAGCUUGUGGCAGAACUAGAACUAAAAUUCUGGUGUACUGACUUAACCGAAGGGCUACAUAUACCAGGCUAUUCCAAGUGCCUUCGUGGGGCUCACAGACUAAUGGGCAGGGAUCAGACCGGUCGCACGUAGGAUGGCUCAGAGGUCCUGGUCCCACGUACUGCCACAACGCCCGGUUUCGGUUUCCGCACGGGAGGUACAGAGCUCUUGGCAGCCGGGGCGGGGCGGGACUUCCGGGGGCGGGGCCUGGCCUUCGUUGCGUCUUGCGCCUGCGCCUGCGCCGGCGCAUAAACCCGCGAAGCGGGGGAUUAGGUUCGCCGGAACCCACGCCUGGUCUUCUGCUUCCGGGUCGCAGCCAUGGCGGUGGCAAAUUCAAGCCCUGUUAAUCCCGUGGUGUUCUUUGAUGUCAGCAUUGGCGGCCAGGAAGUUGGCCGCAUGAAGAUCGAGCUGUUUGCGGACGUUGUGCCUAAGACGGCCGAGAAUUUUAGGAAUGCCCUCAGCUGUGAUGCCAUGGUAACUGAUUCGUUCACUCUUUUCCCUUUAAGGCAGUUCUGCACUGGAGAAUUCAGAAAAGAUGGGGUUCCGAUAGGCUACAAAGGGAGCACCUUCCACAGGGUCAUAAAGGAUUUCAUGAUUCAGGGUGGGGAUUUUGUUAAUGGAGAUGGUACUGGAGUUGCCAGUAUUUACCGGGGGCCAUUUGCAGAUGAAAAUUUUAAACUUAGACACUCAGCUCCAGGCCUGCUUUCCAUGGCAAACAGUGGUCCCAGUACAAAUGGCUGCCAGUUCUUCAUCACCUGCUCUAAAUGUGAUUGGCUGGAUGGGAAACACGUAGUGUUUGGAAAAAUCAUUGAUGGACUUCUAGUGAUGCGAAAGAUCGAGAAUGUUCCCACAGGCCCCAACAAUAAGCCCAAGCUGCCUGUGGUUAUCUCACAGUGUGGGGAGAUGUAGUCCAGAGCAAGACUGAUCAGUAUACUUCUCAACUUUAUGCUGGGGAACCAAAGGUCUGACGGAGGGCAAGAGUCAGACCAGUUCUGCUCUUCUGGGAAAAGCAGACCUUCACCUCUCUGCCAUUGUGGGCCUUCCUUGCUCUGGGUGAUGCUCUUGAGUAAGAUAAUCCGGAUUGGCCCCUGUGUUUGCUUCCCUGCCUGCUGCGGCCCUUUUUGAUCAAGAGACCUUGGAAGUGUCACAGAUUCAGAAUCCAAGAUUUUCUGUUUAAGUUUUCAAUUGUAAAUAAAGUUUUGUUUUGUUUUGGUA